UUCAUUUCUUCUACUACCCAAGCUGAUGAAUGCAAUUGCCUGAUGAUUUCUAGGAAAUAGAUGAGUUAUGUGAUGAGUGGGUCCCAGAACCCCUCAUUCCUGCAAUUACCGAAGAGAUGAAGUAUCAACCACCAGUAUUGCAAAGUGCUGCAGGACCACAUACAAUAAUCAAUGGGAAAGAAGUUGUUAACUUUGCAUCAGCAAAUUACCUUGGAUUUGUAGGACACGAAAAGUUGCUAGAGUCCUGUACCAAAUCAGUGGAGAAAUAUGGUGUUGGUUCUUGUGGACCUCGUGCAUUUAUGGAACAAUCGGUAUGAUUUAAAUUGUAUCUAAUGA